rnacentral:rRNA from 1 species
AACGAACGCUGGCGGCAGGCCUAACACAUGCAAGUCGAACGCUCGUAGCAAUACGAGAGUGGCAGACGGGUGAGUAACACGUGGGAACCUACCCGGUGGUACGGAAUAACUCGGGGAAACCCGAGCUAAUACCGCAUACGCCUACGGGGAAGGAUUAUCGCCAUCGGAAGGGCCCGCGCCGGAUAGCUAGUUGGUGGGGUAACGGGCCGUACCAAGGCUACGAUCCGUAGCUGGUCUGAGAGGANGAUCAGCCACACUGGGACUGAGACACGGCCCAGACUCCUACGGGAGGCGAGCAGUGGGGAAGUCUUGGACAAUGGGCGGCAAGCCUGAUCCAGCCAUGCCGCGUGAGUGAAGAAGG